GACGAACGCUGGCGGCGUGCCUAAUACAUGCAAGUUGAGCGCUGAAGGUUGGUACUUGUACCAACUGGAUGAGCAGCGAACGGGUGAGUAACGCGUGGGGAAUCUGCCUUUGAGCGGGGGACAACAUUUGGAAACGAAUGCUAAUACCGCAUAAAAACUUUACACACAAGUUUUAAGUUUGAAAGAUGCAAUUGCAUCACUCAAAGAUGAUCCCGCGUUGUAUUAGCUAGUUGGUGAGGUAAAGGCUCCACAAGGCGAGGAUACAUAGCCGACCUGAGAGGGGGAGAGGCCAAACUGGGAUGGAGACAGGGCCCAACAUCCUAAGGGAGGGAGCAGUAGGGAAUCUUCGGCAAUGGACGAAAGUCUGAACGAGCAACGCCGCGUGAGUGAAGAAGGUUUUCGGAUCGUAAAACUCUGUUGGUAGAGAAGAACGUUGGUGAGAGUGGAAAGCUCAUAAAGUGACGGUAACUAACCAGAAAGGGACGGCUAACUACGUG
rnacentral:rRNA from 1 species